ACAGCAGUCGCCGCGGGAAUACAGAGGAUGCAAGCGUUAUCCGGAAUGAUUGGGCGUAAAGCGUGCGCAGGCGGUCCGCUAAGACAGAUGUGAAAUCCCCGGGCUCAACCUGGGAACUGCAUUUGUGACUGGCGAGCUAGAGUAUGGCAGAGGGGGGUGGAAUUCCGCGUGUAGCAGUGAAACGCGUAGAUAUCGGAAGGAACACCUGUGGCGAAAGCGGCUCACUGGACCAUUUCUGACGCUGAUGCACGAAAGCGUGGGGAGCAAACAGGAUUAGAUACCCCUGUAGUCCCUGUCUCUUAUAC
rnacentral:rRNA from 1 species